UACGUAGGGUGCGAGCGUUAAUCGGAAUUACUGGGCGUAAAGCGUGCGCAGGCGGCUUUGCAAGACAGAUGUGAAAUCCCCGGGCUUAACCUGGGAACUGCAUUUGUGACUGCAUGGCUGGAGUGCGGCAGAGGGGGAUGGAAUUCCGCGUGUAGCAGUGAAAUGCGUAGAUAUGCGGAGGAACACCGAUGGCGAAGGCAAUCCCCUGGGCCUGCACUGACGCUCAUGCACGAAAGCGUGGGGAGCGAACAGG
rnacentral:rRNA from 1 species